UGCUUGGGUAGCUCAGUUGGUAGAGCACUUGCCCGGGAAAGGCAAAGGUCGCGAGUUCGAGUCUCGCUCCGGCAC